UCAAAUUCGUCUUAAAGGGAGGCAAACGACAAAGGGAAGCUCUUUCAAAAGCUGAGACCUUAACAGCAGGCAAGUUGCAGACUGCUGCUGAGACUAAAGAUGACCACAGUAUUCUGGUACACAUUAAGGACAAAGACUGUGUGGCUCUGGAGGUGCAGUACCACAAGAGCUGCUACCAGCAGUACACCAGAUUUCUGAAUGAGCCUGCUAGACAAGAGAAGGACAAGUCAUUGCCUGGAUGCUGACCCCUGCCUUUUUGCACCGUGCUACA